GCCGGGGAUGACUGCCAGCAGCUUCUCCAAACUCAUCUUUACCUCAGAAGAGAGAGGGGGUCUGGAGGGAAGCAAGGAAGACCACAGCCUCUGAGGGCCCCAUCACUGAACAAGACCAGAAGAUGUAUACUCAGCUGAAAUCCCUAACCGUUACCUUCCGCAGUCCAUCCAGGCCCUGAAACUGCUUCUUCAGCAUGUCCUCCAAACUGUGAGAGAGACCCAGCCAAGAGGCUGAACUGAUUCCCCAUCCUUAUCAGACCAAUGACGCUUUCUUCGUCUGGGUUAAGAGACAUUAUCCAAGGACACUUGCACCUCGCUGGACCAUAACCUGUGGUCCUCACCACACCUGCAGCUGUUAAGGUGGCUGGGAUCACUCCCUGAAUUCAUCACACCCAACUCAAGCGGGCAACAGACACUCCUGACCCGUGGGCCAUCACUUGUUCAGAGGAUCCUUUAAAGGUUAAAUUUACCUGGUGGGAUUCCAGAGGUGGAGCCAGGUCCACAAUUUCCAGAUAAAAUAUAAAAAUUCGGGUUUGGGGAUUUAGCUUAGUGAUAGAGCACUUGCCUAGCAAGCGCAAGGCCUUGGGUUCGGUCCUCCGCUCAAAUGUAUAUAUGAAUUCCCAAGUGCUAUUCAAACCUGGUUCCCCUUUCUACUAUGUCUUCUCUGCAUUGACUACUGUUCUAGAUAGCUUUAUGUCAACUUAAUACAAGCUAAAGUCAUCUGAGAGGAGGGAACCUCAAUUAAGAAAAUGCCCCCAUAAGAUCAAGCUAUAGUGGCAGUGGUGGCACACGCCUUUAAUCUCAGCACUUGGGAUGCAGUGGCAGAUGGAGCUCUGUGAGUUCAAGGCCAGCCUGGUCUACAGAGCUAGUUCUAGGAUAGCCAGGGACACAGAGAAAAUCUGUCUUGACCAAACAGAAAAAAAAAUAAAGAAAAAAAAGAAAAUCAGGCUGUAGGUAAGCUCUGUAGGGCAUUUUAUUUUCUUAAUUAGUGAUUGAUGGGGGAGGACCUGGUCCACUGUGGUGUUUCCAUCCCUGGGCUAAUGGUCUGGGUUCUGUAUGAAAGCAGGCUGAGCAAGCCACCAGAAGCAAGCCAGUAAGCAACACCCCUCCAUGGCCUCUGCAUCAGCUCCUCUCUCCAGUUCCCUGCUGGUUGAGUUCCUGUCCUGACUUCCUUCGAUGAACAGUAAUAGUGAAGUGUAAGCCAAAUAAACCCUUUCCCCCCACAACUUGCUUUUUGGUCCCAUAGUGCUUCAUUGCAGCAAUAGAAACGCUAAGACAACUACCCAAUUCUAGGACAGAAAUAAACAGAAAUAAAUCUGUAGCAGGAAGUUUCUGUGUCCAGCCAGCAACUCCCAAAUAACCAGCAGCUGCUUCCUAAAUAAUUGACUUGGAGGCUUAACAUUACUUAUAAACCCUUGGCCGGUGGCUCAGGCUUAUUACUAACUAGCAUGUAGGCUUAAAUUAACCCAUAAUUCUUGUCUAUGUUUAGCCAUGUGGCUUGGUACCUUUUCUCAGUGCAAUAUUCUUCAUCUUGCUUCCUCUAUAUCUGGCCAGCUAUUCCUGACCUCGCCCUUCCUUUUCCGAGCAUUCUUAGUUUUGGUUGCCCCACCUAUACUUUCUGCCUGGCUACUGGCCAAUCAGCAUUUUAUUAAAUCAAUUUGAGUGACAAAUCUUUACAAAGUAUGAGAGGAUUAUUCCACAGCAUAAAUCCCCUACGACAGCGUUUAUGUUCUAACACCUGGGUAAAAUUAGCUCAUAUUGUAAAUACUACUGACUUUUGUCUAAAAGAGGAGUUAAAUGCUGAAAGUAUGUUAGGUGCAUGUCUUGUUCCUGUUUGUAAACCUGUCUAGGAUAUGUUAACCUAUCAGGUUAAACCUACCCGUUAUAAAGAUUUUUACAGUCAGGGAAGGGCUUCUAAAGACAAAGUAGUAAGUGCAACAGAACUCCAACUUCCCUGUGUUACAGUACAUCCAAAUGAUACAUGCUAAAAUACACCCCCAGGACAUCCCCAAAGGAUAAACAAAUUGUUCCCAUACUGAAGCUAUCCUCUAUGGGAUGGCCAUAUUCCUUUGUCUGAAGGAUGGUUUUUCACUUGUGCACAAUACGCCUAUAAUUAUAUUCUUGCUAACUUGUUUCACAAUACCCACUGUUGUUUAAGCAGACUGUCUGUAUUUCCCCAACAUCAAGGAAGGAAAAACCUCAGUCAGGCAGUGGUGGUGCACAUCUUUAAUCCCAGCCCUUGGGAGGCAGAAACAGGCAGAUCUUUGUGAGUUUGAGGCCAGCCUGGUCUACAGAGCAAGUGCCAGGACAGCCAGGGUUACACAGAGAAACCCUUUCUCAAAAAAACAAACAAACAAACAAAAGAAUACUUUGCUCUGUCAUAUGUUAGUCCUGUGACUUGGGGUAGUCCAUGUGGCCUCUAAAACAAGGAAGUAUAAAUCUUCAGUGGAUGUAAAAAUAUGUAAUCAUAUGAAAUAUUUGAAAAAGAAAGGUAAGGAGGGAAAACUAGAUAGCCAAUAGUUUUCUACCCAAAGACUUCAGUGAUUUCAUUGGUACUUUAUUUUAGUCUAAAAUCUUUGCAGUUUCCAAAAAUUUCUGAUUGCAAUGAGAUCUAAAGAGACUGUGGAAACAGGAGCUACAUGCACAUGUGGCUUCACUUAUUAUUUAGGACCUAUAUUUCCUUACAUGGCUGGAUGCAGACUCUUAGAAACUCCUCAUUAACUGUUUUGGCAAAAUUACCUGAAUAAAGUGUACAGUUCACAA